rnacentral:rRNA from 1 species
GUGCAGCAGUCGCGAAAACUUCACACUGUGCGAAAGCACGAUGAGGGAAUCCCAAGUGCUUGCACGUAAGUGUAAGCUGUUUCUCUGUUUAAAACGCAGAGAGAGUAAGGGCUGGGUAAGACGGGUGCCAGCCGCCGCGGUAAUACCUGCAGCUCAAGUGGUGACCGUUAUUAUUGGGCCUAAAACGUCCGUAGCCGGUUUAAUAAAUGCCUGGGUAAAUCGUGUAGCUUAACUAUACGAAUUCCGGGUAGACUGUUAAACUCGAGACCGGGAGAAGUUAGAGGUACUCCUGGGGUAGAGGUGAAAUUCUGUAAUCCUAGGGGGACCACCAGUGGCGAAGGCGUCUAACUAGAACGGGUCUGACGGUGAGGGACGAAGCCCUGGGGCGCAAACGGGAUUAGAUACCCCCGUAGU